AUUGAACGCUGGCGGCAUGCCUUACACAUGCAAGUCGAACGGCAGCACGGGAGCAAUCCUGGUGGCGAGUGGCGAACGGGUGAGUAAAGUAUCGGAACGUGCCCAGUCGUGGGGGAUAACGUAGCGAAAGUUACGCUAAUACCGCAUACGAUCUAUGGAUGAAAGCGGGGGAUCGCAAGACCUCGCGCGAUUGGAGCGGCCGAUAUCAGAUUAGGUAGUUGGUGGGGUAAGGGCUCACCAAGCCGACGUUCUGUAGCUGGUCUGCGAGGACGACCCGCCACACUGGGACUGUGACACGGCCCAGACUCCUACGGGAGGCAGCAGUGGGGAAUUUUGGACAAUGGGCGCAAGCCUGAUCCAGCCAUGCCGCGUGCAGGAUGAAGGCCUUCGGGUUGUAAACUGCUUUUGUACGGCACGAAAAGGUUUGGCCUAAUACGCUGAACUCAUGACGGUACCGUAAGAAUAAGCACCGGCUAACUACGUGCCAGCCGCCGCGGUAAAAC
rnacentral:rRNA from 1 species